UUCCCUCAUCGUCUCUUCCCGUAGUUUUCCAACGGUCCCAGCGCCGAAGGGAAUGAACACAAGUCAAUUCAACUGUGGGUUGACGUUAAUCUUUGCCAUGUCACGGAAAUAAAAGAAAAUAAUAACGUGCAGACACCACCCGUGAACUGCGGAUUGUACAUUGGCAGAUCUGCUAAAUUUAUGAUUCUGUUGGGUGGGACUAAAUAUGGUUCACGUGACAUCAGAUCUGUCAAAGUACCAGUCAGAGUAAGCAGAGUAAGCAACUCGCUCUCCUCUUUCUCAUAUGAAGUGACUAAUCUCCCACUGUUACGUGUAACAGUCGAAACUUCCAGCAAAGACCAGUGAAGAAGAGCAAAUGGUCUAUUUUUCUCCAGGGGAGGCUUAAACAUGUAGGACUGAAUCACACCAAUUGGUGAUGUUGCUCAACACUAUCAUGACUCUGGGUUGCUUACAUUGUUUGCAACAC